rnacentral:sRNA from 1 species
AAAGAUCGCCGAAUUCCUGUAUAGGAAACGGGGGAACCACGAGUUAGGGUGAAUUGGCUGCCAUACACGUCAGCCAUAGGGGACCUUCUACCGAACCCGAUAGCUAACCUCGCAGGCGUGGAAGG